rnacentral:rRNA from 1 species
CAGUCGCGCGGGAAUACGUAGGUGGCAAGCGUUGUCCGGAAUUAUUGGGCGUAAAGGGCUCGCAGGCGGUUUCUUAAGUCUGAUGUGAAAGCCCCCGGCUCAACCGGGGAGGGUCAUUGGAAACUGGGAAACUUGAGUGCAGAAGAGGAGAGUGGAAUUCCACGUGUAGCGGUGAAAUGCGUAGAGAUGUGGAGGAGCACCAGUGGCGAAGGCGACUCUCUGGUCUGUAACUGACGCUGAAGAGCGAAAGCGUGGGGAGCGAAUAGGAUAGAUACCCCUGUAGUCCCUGUCUCUUAUACAC